GAAAUGCGAUACGUAAUGCGAAUUGCAGAACUUCGUGAAUCAUCAAAAUUUUGAACGCACAUUGCGCUACUGAGUCAUCUCAGUAGCAAGCUCAACUGAGUGUCUUUAAACCCCACUCAGCCGCUGCUGCACUUGAUUGUGCUAGCCGCGAGCUGGACUGUGAUGGUGUUUGGCCCUGCUGCCGAACUCCGUUCAAGUUCAUUGGUUUGUUGUUGACGCCUCUACUGGCUGAACGCGAAUCGCAACUAGAUUUGGUAGGUGCACUUAUGUGUAUUUUUGAAUCUGGCGUGCGAGUUGCCAAGGCUUACUAGGGUGUCUUCCGCGAAUUGGGCAUCUAGCACCUGCUGGCUUGUCCGGAAUGAAUGUACCUCAUCUAUGGAUCUCAGUUUGGGUUGGACUACCCGCUGAAUUUAAGCAUAUAAUUAAGCGGAGGAAAAGAAACUAACAAGGAUUCCCCU
rnacentral:rRNA from 1 species